ACCCUCCCUUGAAUGUGUUCUUCCUCUGCUCAUCAAACCUUUCCCCUCAAAUCUUUCUUUGUUAUUUGAAAAUUUUUUUUUUCAACUCUUUCAAUUUCAGAGAAUUACUAACAUAGUCUAGUGAAAUACUGUGUUUUCCAUACAAUAGAGUAUCAACAAAAGUCUUAUAAGAGGGUGACAAAGAACAUAACACAAUAAGAGCUUGAUCCUCACUAUCAAUAUCAAUAUUAAUAAUUUUUAGAUCCAUAAUGAUUGAAUUAAAUUCA
rnacentral:misc_RNA from 1 species